AUUGAACGCUGGCGGCAGGCCUAACACAUGCAAGUCGAGCGAGCGGCGGACGGGUGAGUAAUGUCUGGGAAACUGCCCGAUGGAGGGGGUUAACUAUCGGAAACGCUUGCUAAUAUCGCAUACCAUCAGAACUGCCCAGAUGUGAUUAGCUAGUAGGUGGGGUAACGGCUCACCUAGGCGACGAUCCCUAGCUGGUCUGAGAGGGUGACCGGCCACACGGGAACUGAGACACGGUCCAGACUCCUACGGGGGGCAGCGGUGGGGAAUAUUGCACAAUGGGCGCAAGCCUGAUGCAGCCAUGCCGCGUGUGUGAAGAAGGCCUUCGGGUUGUAAAGCACUUUCGGCGGGGAGGCGUUACCCGCAGAAGAAGCACCGGCUAACUCCGUGCCAGCAGCCGCGGUAAUUC
rnacentral:rRNA from 1 species